CUAGUACUCCCUCCAUCCCAAAAUUUUUGUCUUAGAUAUGAAUGUAUCUAGUCACGUUUUGGUAUUUAGAUACAUCCAUUUCUAGACAAACCAAAGACAAGAAUUUUGGGACGGAGGGAGCAUAUA
rfam:Hordeum vulgare subsp. vulgare, WGS project CAJW01000000 data, contig: morex_contig_1579026